GUCCUACGGGGCGCAGCAGUGAGGAAUAUUGGUCAAUGGGCUUACGCCUGAACCAGCCAAGUCGCGUGAGGGAAGACUGCCCUAUGGGUUGUAAACCUCUUUUGUCAGGGAGCAACGCCGGCUACGUGUAGCCGGACUGAGAGUACCUGAAGAAAAAGCAUCGGCUAACUCCGUGCCAGCAGCCGCGGUAAUACGGAGGAUGCGAGCGUUAUCCGGAUUUAUUGGGUUUAAAGGGUGCGUAGGCGGGACGGUAAGUCAGCGGUAAAAAUGCGGAGCUCAACUCCGUCGAGCCGUUGAAACUGCCG
rnacentral:rRNA from 1 species